UACGUAGGGGGCAAGCGUUGUCCGGAAUUAUUGGGCGUAAAGAGCAUGUAGGCGGUCCGGUAAGUCAGCUGUGAAAGUCAAGGGCUCAACCCUUGAAAGCCGGUUGAUACUGUCGGGCUAGAGUCCGGAAGAGGCGAGUGGAAUUCCCGGUGUAGCGGUGAAAUGCGCAGAUAUCGGGAGGAACACCAAUGGCGAAGGCAGCUCGCUGGGACGGUACUGACGCUGAGACGCGAAAGCGUGGGGAGCAAACAGG
rnacentral:rRNA from 1 species